rnacentral:rRNA from 1 species
GACAGAGGGUGCAAACGUUGUUCGGAAUUACUGGGCGUAAAGCGCGUGUAGGCGGCUAUGUAAGUCGGGCGUGAAAUCCCACGGCUCAACCGUGGAAGUGCACCCGAAACUGCGUAGCUAGAGUCCUGGAGAGGAAGGUGGAAUGCUUGGUGUAGAGGUGAAAUUCGUAGAUAUCAAGCGGAACACCGGUGGUGGAGGCGGCACCCUGGGCCGAGGCCGACGCUGAGGCGCGAGAGCGUGGGGAGCGAACCGG